UGGCGGACGGGUGAGUAACGCGUGGAAAACCUGCCGUAUACGUGGGGGAUAACACUUAGAAAUAGGUGCUAAUACCGCAUAAGCGCACAGCUUCGCAUGAAGCGGUGUGAAAAACUCUGGUGGUAUACGACGGUUCCGCGUCUGAUUAGCUAGUUGGUGGGGUAAUGGCCUACCAAGGCAACGAUCAGUAGCCGGCCUGAGAGGGUGAACGGCCACAUUGGGACUGAGACACGGCCCAAACUCCUACGGAAGGCAGCAG
rnacentral:rRNA from 1 species